UGAAGAAGGCCUUCGGGUUGUAAAGCCCUUUUGUUGGGAAAGAAAACUUUCCGGUCAAUACCCGGAGAGAAUGACGGUACCCAAAGAAUAAGCACCGGCUAACUUCGUGCCAGCAGCCGCGGUAAUACGAAGGGUGCAAGCGUUACUCGGAAUUACUGGGCGUAAAGCGUGCGUAGGUGGUUCGUUAAGUCUGAUGUGAAAGCCCUGGGCUCAACCUGGGAAUUGCAUUGGAUACUGGCGGGCUAGAGUACGGUAGAGGGUAGUGGAAUUCCUGGUGUAGCAGUGAAAUGCGUAGAGAUCAGGAGGAACAUCCGUGGCGAAGGCGACUACCUGGACCAGUACUGACACUGAGGCACGAAAGCGUGGGGAGCAAACAGGAUUAGAUACCCUGGUAGUCCACGCCCUAAACGAUGCGAACUGGAUGUUGGGUUCAACUAGGAACUCAGUAUCGAAGCUAACGCGUUAAGUUCGCCGCCUGGGGAGUACGGUCGCAAGACUG
rnacentral:rRNA from 1 species